CNCUCUCUGGCACAACCCCCGAGAACUCUUCUCCCGGCGGUGUCGAAUUAGAUCGGCGCCGCUGGGCCACUGAUUUGCCAUCGUCGUUCUCUUCUCUGCUCCCAAACCCUGCUCUGGUCUGCUCUCGAAUCCACCAGAGGUUCAUCGGUCUGUCAAGCUACUCCGGCCAUGCGUCAGCUUCAAUCCCUCUUCUCCUCCUCAGCUCAUCCGGUGGUUCGUCUUGAAGAGGUGAUUCUCUCGAGACCCCAACUGUCCAAUAACAAAUCUGAGAUCUUUGGGCACCAUGUGUGUCCUGCUUUCCGCCUAUCUUACCGGCUCUCUUUGAAGUCAUCCGUAUCACCUCCGCUCUCCUUGGGUUCAUACCCCAUCACCAAGUGGCUUACAUGGUUGAUGUUGGAAUGGAGCUCUGUUUUGACGCCAGAACUGAGUGAGAUUUUGACGGACAAAGCUUUAACUCUGGCAUCCCCUUCCCCUCCCUCUGCAUCCCUGGUCGUCUUAGAUUGUUGUUCAGCUCUUAACCUCCCUGAUCUGCCGCUUCACCCGAGGAAAUCUAUUUUCCACAAACCAGACCAGACCAAAUCCCUCUCUGUCUUCUCGAUUCAGAGAAUAAAAAUGAAUCUUGAAGUGAAUAAGACAAUUGAUUACAGCUUCUGAAGCAAUCACAACUAUGGUAACAAUCUUUUGAGAUCUUUAAGAAGAAUGGAGUGAUGGACUCGCAACAGAGAAGAGUGUUAACAUCAACAUAAGGAUGGUUCAUAAGAUUAAGAUAAUGGUUGGAAACCAUACAAGUGACACCAAAGACCAACGACGAGACCGCUUCGGAAGCACACAAAUUUACUGCCACCGAGGUCUAAGAUGCAGCUGGUUCCUAGAGGCUGAUGCCAAUCAAAAAGAAAGAACGAUUUCUCCUUUACUAUCUUUGUUUGUUUUUUUUUCGUUUGUGACAUAUCAAACAUAAUACUAUAAAAAUAUGAAAGUAAAUGUUUGUUUAGCCAAACUUAGAAUUCUUCACUUCUACUCCAAUUAGUACGCGUGGGUUUGAAUCGCUUACA